GUCGUGAGAUGUUGGGUUAAGUCCCGCAACGAGCGCAACCCCUGUCGCAUGUUGCCAGCAUUAAGUUGGGGACUCAUGCGAGACUGCCGGUGACAAACCGGAGGAAGGUGGGGAUGACGUCAAGUCCUCAUGCCCCUUAUGUCCAGGGCUACACACGUGCUACAUUGGCCGGUACAAAGGGCUGCGAUACCGCGAGGUGGAGCGAAUCCCAAAAAGCCGGUCUCGGUUCGGAUUGGAGGCUGAAACUCGCCUCCAUGAAGGCGGAGUCGCUAGUAAUCCCGGAUCAGCAACGCCGGGGUGAAUACGUUCCCGGGCCUUGUACACACCGCCCGUCACACCACGAAAGCAGGCAACACCCGAAGUCGGUGACCCAACCCUCACGGGAGGGAGCCGCCGAAGGUGGGGCUCGUGAUUGGGGUGAAGUCGUAACAAGGUAGCCGUACCGGAAGGUGCGGCUGGAUCACCUCCUUUCUAGGGAGCUCCUAACUAUGGAGUCCGCCGUGUCGGCCUUAUGGCCGGCCGGCGUCCUUAGCAUGUCGACCGAACCUUGUUGGCCUCCGCUUCGGCGGAAGUCAUUGCACUGCUGAGUUUGAGAGACCAGCCGGGGAGUCCCCCCGGUGGCGCCCUCGCCGGUCCUUGAAAACUGCACAGUUGGCCAAAUAAGACGGGUAAAUCACCAGUCGCGUCCGGGCCUCGGUCCGUGCGCGGCGAUCACCGUCAAGAUAAUAAGGGCACAUGGUGGAUGCCUUGGCAUCAGGAGUCGAUGAAGGGCGUGGACGGCUGCGAUAAGCCGCGGUGAGCUGCUGAACAGGCUUUGACCCGCGGAUGC
rnacentral:sRNA from 1 species